AUUUCACCUUCCUAAUUCUAUUUGUACUCCAAAAAGUGAGAAGCUUCUUCUUCUGCAUAUAUGCUUUUUUGAAAAUUUACUCUUUUCUCAGAGAGAGAGAGAGAGAGAGAGAGGGGAGAGUACUGUAAUGGUGAGAUUUGGUUAAGAAGGAAGCAAACUAUAUUUUGAUUAGUUGUUACGCGAGAAGAAGAAGAGGAAAGCAAAAGAUGGUGGUGAGGAAAGUAGGCAAGUAUGAGAUAGGGAGGACAAUCGGCGAAGGAACCUUCGCCAAAGUAAAGUUUGCGCAGAACACCGAGACUGGUGAGAGUGUGGCCAUGAAAGUGCUCGAUCGUAGCACCAUCAUCAAACACAAGAUGGUCGACCAAAUCAAGAGGGAGAUAUCCAUAAUGAAACUUGUCAGACAUCCUUAUGUAGUGCGAUUGCAUGAGGUUUUGGCGAGCCGCACAAAGAUUUAUAUAAUCUUGGAGUACAUUACUGGUGGUGAAUUGUUUGAUAAAAUAGUGCAUCACGGACGUCUUAGUGAGGCUGAAGCUAGAAGAUACUUUCAACAGCUUAUUGAUGGGGUGGAUUAUUGCCACAGUAAAGGAGUCUACCAUAGAGACUUAAAGCCUGAAAAUCUUCUACUUGAUUCACAAGGAAAUUUAAAGAUCUCAGAUUUUGGUCUUAGUGCAUUGCCUGAACAAGGAGUUAGCUUGCUGCGGACAACAUGUGGAACUCCUAACUAUGUAGCACCUGAGGUACUCGGUCACAAAGGUUAUAAUGGUGCUGUGGCAGAUGUCUGGUCCUGUGGGGUUAUUCUUUACGUUUUGAUGGCAGGAUAUCUUCCAUUUGAUGAACUUGAUCUCACCACUUUAUACAGUAAGAUCGAGAAGGCAGAGUUUUCAUGCCCUUCAUGGUUUCCAAUGGGAGCAAAAUCUUUGAUUCAUAGAAUUUUGGAUCCAAAACCUGAAACUCGUAUAACCAUUGAGCAGAUAAGGAAUGAUGAAUGGUUUAAUAAAGGCUAUGCUCCUGCAAGACUUAUUGAAUAUGAAGACGUGAACCUGGAUGAUGUAGAUGCAGCUUUUAAUGAUCCAGAGGAACAAAAGACUGAUGAACAGUGUGGGAAUGAGGAUACAGGUCCAUUGAUUCUUAAUGCAUUUGACUUGAUAAUUCUCUCUCAAGGCUUGAACCUUGCAACACUAUUUGACCGUGGAAAGGACUCUAUGAAGUAUCAAACACGCUUUGUCUCACAGAAGCCGGCAAGGGUUGUGUUAUCAAGCAUGGAAGUUGUUGCACAAUCAAUGGGUUUUAAGACACACAUUCGUAAUUACAAGAUGAGAGUGGAAGGCCUUUCUGCUAAUAAGACUUCCCAUUUCUCAGUUAUUCUAGAAGUGUUUGAAGUUGCUCCAACAUUUUUUAUGGUGGACAUUCAGAAAGCAGCUGGAGAUGCUUCCGAAUACCUCAAGUUCUACAAGAGCUUUUGUAGCANNNNNNNNNGGAAACCACCUACUGAAUCAAGCAAAUCUAAGAUCACCAAGUCAAAGAGCAGAAAACGUUGAUUUUGUUUCUUGUCAUAAUCACUCUGGCACGUGUUUAAGUGCAGUCAUGGGAAUUUCAUCCAUGCUCAAGUACCAUUCUCAGGUUUUGUUGCAGUUGCAGCUUACAAAGAUACGCCUUUAGUGUUUGUUAACAUCUCCAGACUCUCCCCGAGAGAGAAGGGGAGAAAAGGUAAAGGGAAAAUGGGAGAGAUUUAUCUAAUAUUUGUGUAAUGUUUUUAAAUCUUUAUUGAUCUAGCCUGUUUAAUCUCCUAGCAUGGGUACUAGUCGAGAGUGUGAAUUGAAAGUUUUCAAUGAGAUUAUAACUUGUAAAACCUACAAUCUUUGGAUCAACUGUAAACUACAAAGUUAUAAUCUCAU
rnacentral:misc_RNA from 1 species